rnacentral:rRNA from 1 species
GCGAUCAUACCAGCACUAAUGCACCGGAUCCCAUCAGAACUCCGAAGUUAAGCGUGCUUGGGCGAGAGUAGUACUAAGAUGGGUGACCUCUUGGGAAGUCCUCGUGUUGCACCCU